UUUUAAUGGAAGGUUGGGUGGUGUUAUUUAAUCAUUGUACUUGAUGUAUUUUGUGUGCAGGUAACCCCUGUGCUUUGAAAUGCAAUGUUGCAGUUAGCUUCAUUAGUGGCUCUCAGGCUGAGUUUUUGCUCUUGAAACACAAAUGGUUGUUUAGAUCAGUAACGUAUCCUACAGCUUAUGAAAAAAGCUUCCAGCGAGUAGUAUAAUGCUUUGUGGAAAAUAUGGUUAUUUGCUCAUCUAUUGGGUUAGGUAUAUGCCAAACUUGUAAACUGAAAAGCAGUUAUGGGUUUAGGUUGCUGCUGCCAUGCCAUAUGAAUUAAUACCACCUUUUGAGGACAAUUACUGAAGCUCCUUGGAAGUGAGUCAGAGCAACUGUAUACAAUCAUUCAGUCAAUCCAUUUGUAGAGAUGGAUUUGAAUCUAGAUCUGUUAGGUCCAAUGACAAUGCCAGCUAAUAUAAGGUUCUGCUGAUUUGGCUUUCCUGCAACAAGAGUAGUACCAGCUUGAGUUAGAAUCCUGCUAGAGGAUUUGGAAUGAGUGUAUAUAUUUUGUGAAGUAAAUCUAUUGUGAAAUACUAGAAGUCAAAGAAGUGAACAUCUGCAGCCAAGCAUGAGAGUGUGUGCUAACGUAUCAUGCACCUCGAAGAGCUUCUUGGUUAUAACAUUUUUAUAGCAGUUCUGUGCUGUCAGUAAAGUGCUGUUCCCAUUUAGUAAAUGCUUGAGAGUCAAGCUUAGCUGUGCUGAACUCCAAAUAGGAUUUUGUGCUGUUUUCAGACACUUCUGGUACAUGUGUGUACUCUCAUUGAAGUGCCGUGAUAUAAUAAGCAGCAGAAGCUGCUAAGAUAGCUGCUUGUAAUUUUAAAGCCAUUGUUAACUGUCUAUGCAUAGAUAGAACCACCUCUAUAAAAAUGUGGGUUUCUGCGGGAAGAAUACCCCAUGAGUUUAAACAGAUACGUACUGUAAAAAAAUGUAAAUAUUAUAGUUUAUUAUUAAUAUUUGCUUGCAUUUUCAGUCUCCCUGGAGACCCGAAUAUAUUAUUUUAUUAUUAAUAUUAUUAAUAUUAUUUUGUAUUUAUAUGUAGCUGCUUCAUUAAUUGCAUUUGAGGCAGAUUUUUUUUGAGGGGGAGACAUUUAGGGGAAUUAGAUUAUUAUUUUAUUUUUGGUAAAGAUUUUAUAAUUGGUGUGAGAAAAUUCAGUAGAGAUAAUUGUUCUCUAAAAGCACCCCCAGUUUCUGUUGGGGUAAGGGCCAAGAAUUUCAUUCCAUGAGCAUGUGUUUUGGAUGGAGAAGGUCUCAUCAUCCCUCAGGUAGGGCUAAAAUAUAUAUAUAACCCUCUGCCUGAAACAUUGGAGAGCUGCAGCAUGUCUAUGUUAACAUUAUUGAGCUUGGUGAUCCAUCAGUCUGACCUCAGUAAAAGAGAGUUCGCCAUAUGUAUCUGGUAUUAUUAAAGCACAGCUGUUAUUGUAACAAUCAUGUGAGGCCACAACUGCAGGGAGUGUGAGUGUGAUCCAUAAAAGAGCAUAGAUAAGAAUGGGAUGAACCAAGAAGCAAAAGAAGAACUUCUUUUGAGCCUAGCUGCCCUUUUCUGUGAGGAAACCAUUGUGGACAAAUUGGGGUGUCUUAUGAUCAAAGGUUAGAGUGUGUAAAAUAGUUUUAUUUGACCUGAAUAAUCUGUUUUAGCAGUGCGCUAAGACAGGAUUAGAAAUCGUUGCCCCUGCUUCCACAUAUUUUUACUCUUCAACUCCCAGAAGCCUUAGUCAGCACGGCCAGUGGUUAAAGGGUCAUCAGAUUUGUUCAAAAAACAGUUGGAACAAGGUUCCUCAACAGUAUCUUAAGCUUCGAUGAUAGAUUCAUCCAUUUUUCUUUUUGUCAUUCUGUGGGAACCUUUUUCACAGAUUUUAUUCUUUUCUCAACAUAUUAGGAUGGUCAUAAUCCUAUCCUGUGAGAGCUAGCAUUAUGUAGUCUUUUGAGCUCUGGAAUACAGUGUUCCCUCACUUAUCGCGGGUGUUACGUUCCAGGACCACCCGCGAAAAGUGAAAAUCUGCGAAGUAGGGACGCUAUAUUUAUUUUAAUAUUUAUACAUUAUUUUAGUAGUUAUAUAUCAUUUUAAGUCUUUAUAAACCCUCCCCACACACUUAUACACUACAUAAUCCUUUUCCUUUACCUAAUAAACAAAAUCCUUCAGUAACUUUAGUUGAGCAGCAACUUUUAGAAAGCGCUUCACUUCCAUUGGACAUAUAUAAGAAGCAUUCACGUGCACAGUCUAGCCCUCAUGCUUCCUUACCCGCCUCUGCUAAGCUAAGAGUCCACCCAGUAAACACCCUGGAGCUACUUCCGUGGCCACGGUAGUACCAUAGGCCGCACUUCGUGACCAGCAGGCCUUCCUCACCAUGCCUCAGGCCUGGCCCGCACACCAGCCUCCUUUUCUGAGGCCCAUUCGCCUUAGAAAGGAAAAACUGCAAAACAGCGAGUCCACGAAAAGUGAACCGUGAAAUAGCGAGGGAUUACUGUACCCCUUUGGAGACAGGAUUUAAAUCCCUGCCCAGCCAUAGAAACCCGGUGGUGACCUUAAGCAAGCCAGACUAUCUCAGCUUUAGAGGAAGGUAAAGGCAACAUCUCUGCCAAGAAAACCUGUUAAAUGGUUUGCCGUAAAUUGGAAGGAACCUGAAGGCACACAAGAACAGAUCCCUGUUGCUUGGGCCCCACUUGCUGUGAGGGCAUUUCCUAUAGGAAAAAAUAUCCUUACACAGAAGUCACAUUGGUUCUUUUAAAAACCUCCUUUGUGCCAAGCUCCGUGUUACCAGUGACUUUAAAACCACUUAGACUGAUUUAUGAAAUUAUUCUCUAGUGUGAGCUGCCAUUCAGACUGCUUUGAAACUGCUGCUUGUACAAAAUCUUUCCUUAACUAGGAGCAGAUUUAUGAAGGUGUUGCCACUGCCCUUUCCCCUUUAACUUUUAAAUCAAACUUUUGUUUUAGGUGUAAGGGAAUACAACAUCUUGGCCUAAUUUAUUGUUACAAAUAUAUUCUCCUUUUUAAGUAAAUUAGGGCCUGUUCCAUACUCCACAUGAGCAAAUAUGGAAAUUGGGUUGUGACAGCAUAUGAAACCUCAACUCUGUAGUUCUGUUAGGAAAAAAAGAACUGCUGGAAUCCAGACAUCAGAAUACUCUGAGGCAGUUUUGCGCAUACCUUCCUCUGAAAUAUAGCCUAUAAUACCAGAUAUGUAUUGGCUAUCUCCUGACCAAAUGCUCAUCAAGGCUUACUCUGCUUAGCUCAGGAUCUGAUGCUUUCGGGGUAUUUUUGCUAGCAAUUAGGCUUACUACCCUGUGUAUUUGGGAAUUCACCUUAAUGUGGCAAUAGGUAUGUCAUUGAAGAGCUUUAUUUUAAAAUUAAUUUUUAGAAGACAAUUUUGGAAGACAAAAUAGUUAUUCCUUACUCUUCACUCCAGUUACUAAAUUCUUUAUAGCUCUGUACUCACUUGGUAAUGCUUUAUUAACUUUUGGGCAAUACAGCGGAAGUGAGUGCUAAUAAUCUUAGUAACUCUGGAGUAUAAACAUUAAACUAAUAUCAGACUUUAUCUUCAUUCCAACCAGGAAGGCUUUUUAUCUCUUUGCAGUUCCAUAAUCCAAAGCAUACACAGUUUUUACAAUAUAUAUAUAUACACAGUCUCUCCUUGUUUUGCUUACAGUAUUCUCUUUCACUGUAUCUUCAUUUAUAAAGCAGUAUUUGAUCCACUGGUUCCCAGAAUCAAAUCAAAUUCUUUCACACACCAGAACUUCUAUCAUCAGGAAGCCCACGUGCUGUGAUUAUUUGCUUAAUUUAUAUUCCUCUUAACCAAUCACCUGCUGUGUUACACCUUCCCUACUGCAGCAUAUUCCUUAUUGCUUACAGAUCCCAUUAGUUAUUCUGAUUUACUCAGAACUUAGGUUCUGCUUAGUUACUCCUGUCUUUACAAUUAACCAUGAAACUGCCAGAUACUUUACCAAACUCUUAACAGUACUGUGAAAUGCAGAAAGUGGAGUGCGAACUUCUUCCAGCAGUUAAAUCUUGCAACUGUAAACAGGUAUAGACCAGGUGGCCUAUGUACCCUCAAUGCUGAAACAUAAACGUAAAAAUUAUAAAAAGUUUAUGUUUAUGGGUGAAAAUCUGCACAAAUGCUGCUGUAUGUUUGCUAUUGUAAAGAAUAGGAGGUCAAUUAUUGAAGCUUUUCUCUGUAAAUAGAUGGAUAAGUAUUAUAAGUUUUUAAAAAAGGAUGGUUUUGUAUUGCUGCUAGGACACUUUGCUGUAUGUAAUGAUGUAUUCUGAUGUGUUGCCUGCUUUGGAAUGUGUACUACAGAGAAAAAAAAGCCUGAAUAAGGUGCAUCUACACCAGGCCUGGGCAAACUUCAGCCCUCUGGGUGUUUUGGACUUCAACUCCCACAAUUCCUAACAGUACUGGAUGUUAGGAAUUGUGGGAGUUGUAGUCCAAAACACCAGGAGGGCCGAAAUUUGCCCAGGCCUGAUCUACACUGUAGAAUUGAUUUAGUUGACACCAUUUUAAAUGCCCUAGCUCAAUGGUAUGUGAUCAUGGAAGUUGUAGUUUUACAAGGCCUUCUCUGUUAAAGAGUGCUGGUUUAUCAAAAUACAACUCCCAGGACUUCAUAGCCACAGUGUAGAUGCACCCUAAGUCUCCAUAGUAGAAGGAUCUAUGGCAGUGGUUCUCAACCUGUGGGUCCCCAGGUGUUUUGGCCUACAACUCCCAGAAAUCCCAGCCAGUUUACCAGCUAUUAGGAUUGCUGGGUUUUGAAGGCCAAAACAUCUGGGGACCCACAGGUUGAGAACCACUAAUCUAUGGGUUCCUUUGUAAGCCAUCUGUUCAGGAGCUAUUUUUUCAUUUCUACUAGGUUGUGAGGUUGGUUCAUUUGGUUUUGUAAACUUACUGAAAUGCAUCAUGAAUGAAUAUGUAUAUAUGAAUGUGUAUAUAUGUGAACCAUAAGUGCAAGUUAUCCACACAUGUGACUAGUGGUUCCUUAAGCAACAAGAUGAGAUGCGCUGUUCAUAGUACAGGGUCACAGUACAAUUUUACUUUGAUUACCACCCCACACCCCAAGACCGAGAAUUUUACCAGUUAACCUUAAUGCAACAGCGGCCAGACUCCAAAAUGAAUUCUGCUCAUAGCAAAGUGCAUGUUUGUUUGCUUUUUUGAGUGCUACAAGCCACAGAAUUGUACGUAUGUUUGCUUCUGUUGAAACUAGAUGGCAUGAACGUGCGUAUUGUUUUUACACACUUGAAGCUGUAAGAUACAAUCUAUUCAAUGAAAUAUGUAAAGACUUUAUUUUUUUCUUCAGUCGAGGUAGGGUUGCAACAUAGAUUUUUGUGCAAAAGUUAUAUGUUUAAUAUGCAGAUAUGGAUAAAAGUUACUUUUUCCGCCAUUUAUGCUCAGUUGACCAAAUAUUCCACUUUUUACAUGGAUGAAAGUAAUAUAUUUAGGAGCAAUUAAUUAACUAUUACCUUCUUAGCUAGUCAAUGGGAAGCACAUGCAAUAUUGUUUUUCAUUAUCUCUUCCUUUUCCUAUUACUUUCUUUAUCAUUCAGGCAUUGCUUGAAAUGUUAUCCAAAAAUGUUGGAACCAAAAUAAUUCCAACCAAAAACCCUCAUGCUGAGGUUGUAGUCCUUUUUCAUGCUUAGCUGUAAACUGAGAGAUGAAUUUGUAAUGCCAAGGAAAUUCUUAUGGCAUGCAUUCUCCAAAGUACCUUAGUUGAAAUGGACUCAUAUUCUCUAACGUAAGGGUAAGGCAGCCUGGUAACCUCUAGCUAUUUAGGAUUGCAAUUGCCAUAGAUCCCAGCCAUUCAACAUGUUGGGAAAUGUGAUAGUUGCAGUCCUAUGUUGUGAUUUGUAGCUGCUCAGAAAGUCACCAGGUAGCUUCCCUUUAUUUUUUAACUUAACAGAUGCUUUAUUUUCUGAAAAGUGGAUGUACUUUCAGUACCAUUGGAUGACUGAGUAUAUGUUUACAGGGAAAUUCUGUGCAAUUUUAAUUCCCUCUCUUUAUCCAAAUGUAUAUUUAAUGCUAAGUGCUAAAAAAGAAAAUACUUAUUCAGUAUAUUCCUGGAUGUACAGUACUGAUCACAUCUACAUUGGAGAACCCUUGGCUGCCACUUCAGUCCAAGAUAAUUUGUGAAAUUAAGGUUGUGAUUAGGAUGUGGUUGGGGAAGCCAAAGCUUAUCAGAGAGUAAUCAUUGAUGUAUACUAGAUUCCCUCCAUUAAAAAAGGUUUUUGAGUAGGCCCACCUCCUAUUGAUUGAGCAAUUAAUAUUAAUUCAAAGUCAUUCUAGUCAUUCAUUUUCAUAGAAUUGUAUUUCAAUUCUGAAAAUUUCAGGAUGUGUUGCUGUACUGGAGAAAGACUGGAUGCACCAUGAAAGCCCCAGUCUGAAAAUGUGUUCAUGUAGCUUUGUUAAACAAUAAGGCCCACUAGCUCAAUGGGAGGUGGGUGCAGAGCUACCUUCCCCCCCUAGCUUCCUUGUACAGCCACAUGGUAUUGCUUUUGAUAUAACAUAGUGAUAUGUACCUAGCUCUAAAAGGUGGUUACAGAGAACCUACCUGUUCAAUAGGGUUUUGUAUGCACUGGGUUUCUCCUCCCGUGCAAGAUAGGGAACGUAAGUAUGCAUCCACAUCGUUACACUAUCUGGAUACAUCAGGAAUUCAUGUUCCAUAAUUAGAUACUGAUAUUCGUUAAGUCUCAUUUCGUUUAAAUUGACUCAAGUCUACCAUGUCUCACACAGCUCUCGGAUUUCAUUACACAGGGUAUUGACAGGGUAACAAACAAUUCCUCCUGUGGCUAUAAUGAAAGAAACUCCCAAACUCUGCUAUGGAUCUCUGUAAUAUUAAACCUAUUGUAAUAUUAAAUCGGAAAUACAGGUCCUACCUUUAGUUAUGAAUUUCUUUGAAAUUUCUUUGGGUUGGAUGCUUAUAGAGUUAAGUGGCUAUUUUACAGGGGUUUCUUGGGAGGAAGGAAAUUUUGUCAUGUUCUCUUGCAUUAUCUGCACUGUAACUAUAGUAAUAAGGCAAGUAAUUGACUUCUUGUUGAUUAAUUGUGCUUUAAGCAUUUGAGACGCAAGUCUUAAAUUUCCUUUCUAAAGCCUAAGCCCUGUUGAAGACACUGGACUUUGUGUGAAUAUGCAUAUGUUUGCCCUGCAAAUUGAAAUAAAUUAACACACUUCAAAAAUAUUGGAAAUGUGCAAAAUCUUGCUCUCAUGUUACAAGAUAAUACUAUUUGUAUUAUUUCCCCCCUAAUCUCUGAUUGGAUAACUGACCAGUUAAAAUGGUUUGGAAAAUUAAUAUGUAACUGCUUUGCCUUUAGAUGCGCAAGUUCCUAUCAGUUAAAAGAAGACAGUCCCUAUCCCACAUGCAAUGAUUAAUCAUUUAGAGCUUUAAUGUGGCUGUAACUGUAAUGGCAUUUUCUUGGCAAGGCUGGAAAAUUGUAGUUUUGUUCUUUAAGCAAUUUGUGAAUUUCCUGGAAUAACUUCAGGACUUGAUUCCAUCUCCCUUUUACUCACUUUCGAUGCUGGUUUGACUUGGUUUUGCACCCUUUGAGGCACCAUUGUUGGUGGACUGCCUUUGGUUUAGUGUUCUUUGUGCAUGUCAUGUAAGCAUGGAUUGUUCCUUUUCCCCUUUCCAGUUCGAAUUUUGCAUUUCCUUGGUUGUUUGCCUAAAUAUCUUUUUGUUGCUGAAUUUAACUAGUGCAUCUCAAAGCAGCUUGCAUUGCAGAAACGAUCAUAUGUCCACUUGUCACAGUCCCCUUGUUACGGCAGUAUUUGGAAUGUACUCAUAAGGCAAGGGACAAAUGUUAUGGGGUUGAUGCUUGUUGCAAAUUGAAACUUCCUCAGGGUAUACUGUUUCCUUGCCCUUAGCACACGUCCCAAGGCAGGGGAGGAACCCCUCUCUAUCAAGGCAACAAAAUGUCAAACCAUGAAGAAUUUUCUUAUCCAAAUCACAAGUGGCCAUACCUGUGCCCUGCCCUCCAAAACAGUUGUAGUGUGUGUGGAUCUAAUGAGGUGGAGGGUUCACGUCGUUCUGUUGUGCCUUUCAGUAUACGUUGGGUCUCAGGAGCACAAACAAGUGUGGCACCAUUAGGGUUGUACUGUUCAAGCCUUUUGGAAUUCAUGAGCUUCCUUCAGGAACACAUCUGUUACAAAUCAAGAAGCCAUGAAAGAAUGUGUGCAUAUUUGUAUUGAGUAAAAUGUAUAUACUUCUUUGUUGACUGUUCUAUUUUUCUAAUUGUUUCCUCAGAAUUUCUAACUUGUGAUAUAGUUACUCAGCUUCUGAUGCUGAUGUAGUUCCUGUUGCUUUUUUCCUUCUCCCAUUUCAGUGGAGUUAAUCUCUUUGUUUUCCUUGGAAUUUGCCCCGCCCCUUUUAAAUAAAAACCUUUGUUCUUGUUUUUUUAAAUGUGAAAUCUGUCUAGAGCCUCUGCUUAAUCGAAAGGUUUCUGCAAAUGACACUGUAAAUAUGUGGUUUUUCCCGCUCAGAUGAUGUAGUUUUUUUGACUUGAGAAAUCAAUUUGUAAAUAUGUGAUAUUGCAUUAAAACUGUUUCUUUUAAUGGUUCAAAUAAAUUAUGCUAGUUUCA